AAGUGGAAUGUAAGCGAGAAUUAACUGAGCAAAAGGAACACAACAGAAACAACACAAAGGAACGAAUGACUCACGAUGGCCCUUUCAUUUUGCUCUUUCUAUUCGGCUCGUUUCGUGCUUCAUUCGUGCCUCAUUCCAUUACAAACGAACCGAAUAGAAAGGGAAAUGAAAGAGGGCCGUGAGUGAGGAAUGAAGAGAAUAGUGAAUUUGUCUCUUUUGUUUCUUUUACCUUUGUGUUUUUACAAAUGAAAUGCGUGAAAAAGACAAAGGAAAAGAACAA
rnacentral:ribozyme from 1 species